rnacentral:rRNA from 1 species
AUACGGAGGGUGCAAGCGUUAUCCGGAAUCAUUGGGUUUAAAGGGUCCGGAGGCGGGCUAAUAAGUCAGGGGUGAAAUCCCACAGCUUAACUGUGGAACUGCCCUUGAUACUGUUGGUCUUGAGUUACAGUGAAGUGGUUAGAAUGUGUAGUGUAGCGGUGAAAUGCAUAGAGAUUACACAGAAUACCGAUUGCGAAGGCAGAUCACUAACUGUAUACUGACGCUAAUGGACGAAAGCGUGGGGAGCGAACAGGAUUAGAUACCCUAGUAGUCC